CGCUGGCGGCAGGCCUAAACAUGCAAGUCGAGCGGAUGAGAGGAACUUGUGCCUGGAUUCAACGACGGACGGAUGAGUAAUGCCUAGGAAUCAGCCUGGCAGUGGGGGACAAAGUUUCCAAAGGAACGCUAAUACCGCAUACGUCCUACGGAAGAAAGCAGGGGACCUUCGUGCCUUGCGCUAUCUUAUGAGCCUAUGUCGCAUUAUAUAUUUGUGGAGGUAAUGGCUCACCCCGGCGACGAUACGUAGCUGGGCUGAGAGGAUGAUAACUCACACUGGAACUGAGACACGGUCCAGACUCCUACUGGGAGGCAGCAGUGGGGAAUAUUGUACACUGGGCGAACGCCUGAGCCAGCCAUGCGGCGUGUGUGAGGAAAGUCUUCUGAUUGUGUAGCACUUUUUGUUGGGAGGAAAGGACGCAACGUAUUACAUUGCUGUUUUAACAUUACCGAUGGAGAAUACACCGGCUAUAUCUGUGCGCGCAGCCGCGCUAAUACACAGAGUGCGCGCG
rnacentral:rRNA from 1 species